AAACCAUGAAGGCUGUGUUGGUCCUCGGACUGUGCGUUAUUGCACUGUGCUGUGCUCUCCCUGUUGAUGAUGAGCAGGAAAGAGAGAAGCGCUCAUCGAGCGGCGAGCACUACCGAGGAGGAUAUGGAGGGCCUAUCUUCUACCCCAACCCCAAUAACAACAACAACAACAUGCUGAACACUCUGCUGCC